ACCAAAUCUAGCUGCUCUGUUCUUGAACUUUUUUCAUUUCAUCUUGAAAUUUUUACCUGUAAAGUUGAAGGAAACAGAGAUAUUAUUCAGUCUUCAUCUAAAUCAAACAAAAAUCAAGCUUCUCUCCGCCUGACAACACAGUGAGACCACAAUCAAUGGAACAGGAGCAUUAAUCGAAACAGUCUAUGUUGUAAUCUUUCUUGUCUUUGCUCCUACGAUGGAGAAAGCUAAAAUCUUUGGCAUUUUCACAUGAGUCCUUACCAUUUUCUCCAAAGUCGCUCUUGUCUCUCUCUUAGCCCUCCAUUGGAAACUCAAGGAAGCUAGCAUGUUACAGCCACCAUUUUCUCCAUCAUCAUGUACGCUUCUCCACUCGUUAUCAGUCUAUCAUGGUAAGUGAAGAAUUACAGAAAAACGUUCCUCAACUGAUUUCUCCCCAAAAUGUUGUUAGAUAUCGUUUGGUGGUGACGUGAUUUCAGAGAUGUGUAUUUAAGACAAAGAGCGUAGUGUACAUGCCAUUCUUCUUGUCCCUUUUGGCUUGUUUCUCUGCGGAACAUUGUGGGUUUGUCUAUGGCCUCAUUGGGAGGGAUCAUUAGUUUCAGUAAGUUAAUCCCAAAUGGAUUCGGGUGUGCAUUAUGAAACAACAAAGGCGAGGAAACCGAAAAGAUAAACAAAAUGUGGCCAUUGCCAAUGGAAAAGCAGAGGAACAUGUCCUGAUAAUUGCUCUAAUAUGUAAAAGAUUAUUUUUGAUGAUGAGA